UACGGAGGGGGCUAGCGUUGUUCGGAAUUACUGGGCGUAAAGCGCACGUAGGCGGCUUUGUAAGUUAGAGGUGAAAGCCCGGAGCUCAAUUCCGGAAUUGCCUUUAAGACUGCAUCGCUAGAAUUGUGGAGAGGUGAGUGGAAUUCCGAGUGUAGAGGUGAAAUUCGUAGAUAUUCGGAAGAACACCAGUGGCGAAGGCGACUCACUGGACACAUAUUGACGCUGAGGUGCGAAAGCGUGGGGAGCAAACAGG
rnacentral:rRNA from 1 species